rnacentral:tRNA from 1 species
GGAAGGGUCGCAUAGUGGUUCAUUGCACAGGUCUUGAAAACCUGCGGCUCACGCCAUCGCGGGUUCGAAUCCCGCCCCUUCCG